AUUCAGAGGUGAGAGGAGAGGAGGAGGAGGAGGAGGGGGAUUCUUUAUAUAUUUAAUCUAGUAUUUAUCGCUCCCUCCCUUCGCUCUCUCCUCCCUCUCCUCCUCUCUGU